rnacentral:rRNA from 1 species
CCUACGGGGGGCAGCAGUGAGGAAUAUUGGUCAAUGUACGCAAGUCUGAACCAGCCAUGCCGCGUGCAGGAAGACGGCUCGAUGAGUUGUAAACUGCUUUUGUACGAGGGUAAACGCAGAUACGCGUAUCUGUCUGAAAGUAUCGUACGACUAAGGAUCGGCUAACUCCGUGCCAGCAGCCGCGGUAAUACGGAGGAUUCAAGCGUUAUCCGGAUUUAGUGGGUUUAAAGGGUGCGUAGGCGGUCGGAUAAGUUAGAGGUGAAAUCCCGAGGCUCAACUUCGGAAUUGCCUCUGAUACUGUUCGGCUAGAGAGUAGUUGCGGUAGGCGGAAUGUAUGGUGUAGCGGUGAAAUGCUUAGAGAUCAUACAGAACACCGAUUGCGAAGGCAGCUUAUCAAGCUACUUCUGACGUUGAGGCACGAAAGCGUGGGGAGCAAACAGGAUUAGAUACCCCAGUAGUC